CCGGCGCACGGGUGAGUAACACGUAUCCAACCUGCCGUCUACUCUUGGCCAGCCUUCUGAAAGGAAGAUUAAUCCAGGAUGGCAUCAUGAGUUCACAUGUCCGCAUGAUUAAAGGUAUUUUCCGGUAGACGAUGGGGAUGCGUUCCAUUAGGUUGUUGGCGGGGUAACGGCCCACCAAGCCUUCGAUGGAUAGGGGUUCUGAGAGGAAGGUCCCCCACAUUGGAACUGAGACACGGUCCAA
rnacentral:rRNA from 1 species